rnacentral:rRNA from 1 species
AUUGAACGCUGGUGGUAUGCUUAACACAUGCAAGUCGGACGGUAACGGAAUUAGCUUGCUAAUAGACGACGAGUGGCGGACGGGUGAGUAAAGCAAAGGAACAAGCCUAUUAGAGGGGGAUAGCAUUGGGAAACUGAUGGUAAUACCGCAUGAAGCCUAAUGGUUAAAGGCUGGGAACUAUUUUAUAGUCCAGUUGCUAAUAGAUUGGCCUUUGUUAGAUUAGCUAGUUGGUAGGGUAAGAGCCUACCAAGGCUACGAUCUAUAGCUGUUUUGAGAGGAAGAUCAGCCACACUGGGACUGAGACACGGCCCAG